GCGAGGCGUGUGUCCUCCCGCCGCGUAUCACGGGCGGGGGCUGCCGCCUCGCGCUCUCAGGCUGAGGGGAGGUGCAAGUGUCCUUUGAAGCCCCAUCCCCAGGGCCUUGAGGGCUAGGCCCUCAGCUCCUGGAGUCCCCUGGUGAGGGGAGAGGUGCUGUUUCCCAGCCCCCAAUUAUAGCUGGCAGCAAGGCCUGAGUCUGCAGCGAGCCUGGUGCGGUAGCUGAGAGAGAGACUGUCCAGUUUGGCCAAUGUAUAUGGCAGAGGGACAACUAUGAUGAGUUUUCCUGGGGUGCAACCUGGAACUGGGGUACCACUGAGCCCUCUGGCUUACCAACCUGGGCUCCCUCUCACUCUGUGAUGAUGUGACAAGCUGAAAACGUCUGCAGGAGCCAGGGCUGCGGUUUGCAGCACAAUGCGCUCUUCCACCAUGGAUCAGUUCUGACACAGAAGGAAGAGUGCCACCUAUUGAAUCACCAACACAGCUUCCUGCAGCAGCCUGGGUUUUCUUGAGUGGCCCCUGCCCGAUCCAUCUACUGGCGAAGCUUAGCCUGGCUCUACUUAGCUUGGCUGAGGAGACAGGCCCACAGAUAGAGCAAAGACCUCUAGUGGACAUCUGAAGCGGCACACCAGAUAAAAAGCCAUCUGGAAUACACAAGGACCGCUUUCUUAGAAGAGGUGGGAGGCAGGAGUACCACGUCAGAACAUUCCUUGUUGGCUUACACGAGGUUAUUUAUAGAGCUUUCCCCAUUCCACACCCCUGCUGCCAAAAGUGCCAAGAACGUACAUAGACAAUGCAAGACAGGAACAGAUCACUUGGGAAAGAAUCAGUCCUUGUUCAGGAUACUCUUGUAUAUUUGUCGCAUCCUGCAUAUGCAAUCUUUGUAUCUUCUGCUGGUGUGGGCAGAGCAGGUAAUUUCUUGGUGCUUAGUGGUUAGGCUAUGGAUGACGGUCUCAUUUUCUAAAUGAGCCAAUAGGCUUGGUUCUCCCUCUGACCCCUUACAUUGGUUGUGUGCACUGGGGCCCUAGAAAUCUGAAGAACCUGGAACUGGGAGUCUUUGUGUAUUACGAAACAGUAACAGUUUUGUGCCAAUUAAGGUCACUCGUCACUUUCCGGUGGCUGAACCCUCAAUGCACACCUUAGAAAACCCUGCUGAUUGAGACGGAGCCCUAAGGAUCCCAGCCUCUGUCAGUGUGUGCCUCUCUGGAGCCAGGCCCACCUGCCAGCCAGCUAUAUCAGCCUACUGUCCUACCUAACACUGUGUAUGUUGAGAUGCCCCUGCUCAGAGCGGGUCCACAUCAGUUCCAAAUCCCUGCACAGGCCACUACUUGUAACAAUGACCCUGGCUGGAUCAGCAAUGGGAACUAAAGCUGCCAGCUAUGACUCUAAAAUAAUUCAUCUUUACUACUUCCACAAGAGGAGCACAGCUGCUAGGACAGACAGUAGCAGCCACACAAACUUUGUUAUACAGUCUGGCCACUAGAGGGGGACAAAGAGCCCACAGGCUUAAUAUUGGUUACAUUUAAAAAUCCCACUAAUGUUAAAAAUGGAUUGAAUGUGUGCAAAAUGGGAUACCCUCCUCCUCUCUUCCCCCCCCCCUUCCCCCGAGUUUUAUAAUUCAGAUAAAUCCCAGCCAGUUUUCACUGUGAUAUUCUUUGGCACUUACCAUUAAUAAAGGCAUCUCCCUGCUAAACUGCUACCCCAGCCACUUUAGAUGCCAAGGUGUUAAUAACUAUACACUAAUGACAUUGAUUCCCCCUCUGCCUCCCUGAGCUCAAACACAGCUGGCCUGUUUUCAGUCAGAAAAAAAUCACUUUCAGGCAGAGGUCAGACCUGGCUAAUUUCACCCUGACAGGUGAAACUUUGAGCUAUUUAUGAACACCUGAAAGCAGGGAUAGUUUGGAGUUGCUUCAGUCACCUUAACUGCAGCUGGAGUAGUAGUCAGAACUGCAAGCUAUAGCUAAAGGGGGGGCUCCAAGAGUUGAACUAAUAGAGUUGCCCUUUUAGCUCAUUGGGUAGGGGACUGAGUACAUGGAAGAAUGGAUGGCGCACAGAAAGCUAGCGAGGUUCUCCUGUUUACCUCCUUGUCGGGAGUAUGUUCUGCCGUGGGGAGGAUCAUCCUUUUGUGCAGAACAAUGCUCUGUACCAGUAACCUAGUAAAGCACAUCCGUGGCAGCUAACAGCCAGCAGCGUAGUCGAGACGGAAGUGCUGCAAGGCAUUUGGUAGCAGUGUGUACUGAUCCCUGAGCCAGGGAAAUUCUCAGGACAGGCAGUGUUUGUUACUGAGGCUUAUGCUACACUGUACCACUGAUAGAAACGCUGGUGUUCCUCUCCCACUAUGGAGCUAUGGCACAGGUGUUUCCCCUAGAAAAUGUGGUGUGUUCGCUUUUGCCCAGGAGUCCUUUGUCCCAGUAGCUCAUGGUUAGCCAGCUAGGCAGGGGACCAGGUGGUAGAAAAGAGCCCUUGUGAGCCUCCCCUGGUUCCUCCAGGUCUGUUUUAUCUUUGUGGGGCAUGGCUGAAACUUUUGCUGAGCGUGGAGCUGGGUUAGAGCAAUAUCCCUCCCCUAGAAACCACAGUCUAGAUCUGGCUGUGCUCCUCAUGCCACUGAGGGUAUGUCUACACUGCAAUCAGGAGGGGUGAUUGCAACUCUUGUAGGGUUAGCCACAUGAGCUUUGAUGGAGCUAGAUCAAAGCUAGCUCGAGUUACAGUAGCAGUGUAGCCACGGCAUGGGGGGUGGCAUGGGUGAGCCACUUGCAUAUGUACUCAAGGUCCAGGGGGAGGUAGUACUUGAGAGCUAGCCCGUGCCACUAGAUCCAAGCUAGCUCUGGUUUGUCUCUGUGAGCUGCCAUCUCACCUCCUGAUUGCAGCAUAGACAAACACCCUUAGAGAGAGGGCUCCAGGAGACCCCAUGGGGAAGGGAAAGGGGAGAGAGGACCCUUCUACCCCUUACAUUCAUCCACAAUACAAGGCAAGAGUGAAAGACAAUAACAUUGAAAAGCAGCAAGUAUAAAACAGAUUCCAGGACAAAUGUCAUAAAGAUAGAGUUGCAGGUGGCACCUAAAUAUCAAUUAAACUACAAUGUUGUUAGAAUGUUGGAGUUAUAAAAAUAGUGAAAGCUGGGGAAAAAUUAAUUAAUUCAUAGACAACUUUAACCCCAGCAUCUACUGGUAUUAGAGUAAUACCUACUAACAGUGCUUUUCAUCUGUGGAUUUUAAAGCAUUUUAGAGGGACAGAAGGAUGAAGAGCACAGCAAUGAUUUGCCCAAAGAUACCAGGCAAAGCUGGGACUGGAACCAUGGAUGUCUGGAUCCCAAGCUGGUGUACUAGCCACUGAGCUAUGCUGUUGCAGGCAGAAAGAGGUGAUUCUCAGCAGGAAUGUAUAACUGCCAAGGUCUGUUCUAAUCUUUAUAUAGUGAAACAAAUACAGGACCACCAAGGACUGUCACACUUGUCACGGUGGUGCACGUGUUUGUGAAAUAGUGACAGCCUAUCUCAAAUAGAAGCAGUGGCACCUUCCUCUGUGACUGCCUGGUUCUUCUUCUUUGAGAGCAUGCUCAUGUCCAUUCCAUAUUAGGUGAGCAUGGUGUGGAAUAAGGGGCGCUGCUAGCUCACUUCACCCGCAAUUCCUUCUUGCCGCCAGUGAUGGUGCUGGAAUGUCUGCUUCUUCAGCUAGCAUUGAUUCUUUCUCUGUUCUUGCGAAAUUUGAAAUCCUGUAAAAUAGUUAUACAUAGUAGUUUUCUUAGUUAACCUUAGUAGUAGUUCUCAAACUCUCUGUUAGUCCCGAAUGGGACCCAGCCGGGGGUUGGGGCAUGCCCCGGUCCCCAGGCUUUAAGCCCUGUGAUCGCUGCAAACGGCCUAUGCCCGUCAGCGGUCCCCAUACCAGCUGUCUAAGGUGCUUAGGUGAAGGGUGCAUAAGUGACAAGUGCCGUAUCUACAAGUCCUUCAAACCCAGGACGAAGAAGGAGCGCAAUAUCCAUCUAUAAGCACUUCUAAUGAAGUCAGCACUCACUCCGGCACCAGAGCAGCGGUCUGACUCCACAUUGAGCACUGUGGCCUCCAUGUGCAGUGCUCCCCUGACGCCAUCCGCAAGCUGGCACCGGUCUCCCUCCAUGGUUCCGGUCAGGAAGCUGAAAAGACUGUAAGGGGAAGAUCUCCUACCUCCCGCAAGGGAAAGGAGAGAGCAGUGGGCGAGCCAAGACUUGUUUCAGGCAGCUCAACAUCCCCCUUGGGAAGCUGGGCUCCAGCUCAAGUUGAGUGGUACAGCCCAUCUCAUGCCUUGCCUGUGACUCCAGAUAGUGGUGCAGGCCGUGGCCAGCUUUAGAUGCCAUCGAUGUCUGAAGCCCUUCAAGCAGCGUAGGAGAUCCUGACGCUCCCAGUGCCGCCCUCACUGGCUCCUGCAGUACCCCGCUCUCAGGGAAAAUCUGUGUUGGGACUUAUGCGUGUGUCCCCACCUCAGCAGCACCGUUCCCCAUCGAGAGGGACAUCCCGCCAGCAUUCGCCCGCUCACAGCCGUUACGCCUCAGGAUGGGAGAGACAGGCUCAGCGGAGCCCUCUUCAGUCCCCGCACCGGGGGCACCGAUCGAGGGACUCGAGGCGUACCUCGCUGGUAGAUUGGCGCACACCCUCUGAGACCAACCCCAACCAUCUUCAAGGGCCUGGUACCGAUCCUGGGACCAAUCGGGCACCAGAACCGCUGAUUGCCGGGUCGUCAUGGCCCGUCUCCAAAAGAAAGGUUGCCCUAUUCAGGAUGAUCCUCCCAGCAACUGGCUCAUAGUAGCCCCCGGUCUCGUUCAGCGUCCCCGUACCAGUCAAGUAGCAUGAGGUGAGGAGCGCCGGGUAUCCGAUGCAGAUCUGCCGAAUGCUGUCGGUCCCCGAGAGCCUGUCCAAGACAGUCUUGUUCAGACAGGUCGGCUUUGGGACACAGCGACUGGCACUGGUCGGCAAGAGCCAUCGCUCAGUCUGAUCCUAGUGUCCGGGACCGACCGCUCUGCUGGUAACUCCCGCUAGGAGUGAGGUUCCCUGACUGCGGGACAAGCCCGAGUACCGACAGUGCCAACUACAUUAUCAGCACUGAAACCUGUCCCAUGGCCCCAGAUGCAGUGGCCAGCGCCAUGGUAACCGUGGAACCCUUGAGGGUUCACCCAGCCUUCCCAGGCUGCCCGAUUGGUGUCAGGAGCCUCAGAGAGGCCAGCGGCCUCGGUAUCCCGUCCCCCUCCGGUGCUGGAGACUUUGGGGGGUAAGACCCUUCAGGUCCAGGAGGACCCAGAGAAGCAAGCUGCUGGACCACCAAUUGAUGUGGAGGUUCCCGCAGCACCGGCAUCAUCCUCGUUGUCGCCAGACGAGGCUAUCACGGGGUCUCCUCACCCAGUUCCUCAGGAUGAUGCCAAGGCGCAUCAGGAACUUUUGAAGAGAGUCGCCUCCAACCUGGGGCUUCAGCCAGAGGAAUUGGAAGAGCUUUCGGACUUUCUGUUUGACGUCCUCUGCUCCUUAGCCCCUGCCAGGGUGGCUCAACCCCUUCAUGAAGGGUUUCUAAGAUCACUAAUGCCCUGUGGCAGACUCCCUCUUCCUGGCCCCUAUCUCUAAAAGGGCCAAAUGCAAGUACAAAUGCAAAGGGCAUGAAUACUUAUAUUCCCACCCAGCCCCCAAUUCCCUUGUGGUUGAGGCAGUUAACCACAAGGGGUGGCAGGGACAACCCGAGGCCAUCCCCAAAAAUAAAGACUCGAGGAGGCUGAAUCUUUUUGGACGUAAGGUUUAUUCAUCUUCCAUCCUUCAGCUGAGAGUUGCCAACCACCAAGCCCUCCUUGGCCGAUAUGACUUCAACAUGUGGCAAGCCAUGGCCAAGUUCGAAGGGUCGCUCCCCGAGGGUUCCAAAAAGGAGUUCCAAGUGAUCCUCGAUGAGGGCAGGACCGUGGCCAGGGCGGCUCUGCAGGUGGCGUCAGACACUGCGGACGCUACUGCCCGCACCACGGCUUCCACCAUAUCCAUGCAGCGAGCCUCUUGGCUACUCCACUCUGGGUUGUCCAUCGAGGCUCAGCAGUCAAUGCAGGACCUGCCUUUCAAUGGCCAGGCCCUAUCUGCGGAGCAAACAGACAGCAAAUUCCAUGGCCUCAGGGAUGUCUGCAGCACCCUGUGACAGGUUGGAUCACAGAAAACCCCUUGGGAGCUGCCAACUGAUGUGCUGAAACUACCCCUGAGCAUGUU